rnacentral:rRNA from 1 species
UAGGGAAUCUUCCGCAAUGGGCGAAAGCCUGCCGGAGCAAUGCCGCGUGAGUGAAGAAGGCCUUCGGGUCGUAAAACUCUGUUAUAAGAGAAGAACAAAUUGUAGAGUAACUGCUACAGUCUUGACGGUAUCUUAUCAGAAAGCCACGGCUAACUACGUGCCAGCAGCCGCGGUAAUACGUAGGUGGCAAGCGUUGUCCGGAUUUAUUGGGCGUAAAGGGAGCGCAGGUGGUUUCUUAAGUCUGAUGUGAAAGCCCACGGCUUAACCGUGGAGGGUCAUUGGAAACUGGGAAACUUGAGUACAGAAGAGGAAUGUGGAACUCCAUGUGUAGCGGUGGAAUGCGUAGAUAUAUGGAAGAACACCAGUGGCGAAGGCGACAUUCUGGUCUGUUACUGACACUGAGGCUCGAAAGCGUGGGGAGCAAACAGG